UACCUGGUCUUGACAUCCACAGAACUUUCCAGAGAUGGAUUGGUGCCUUCGGGAACUGUGAGACAGGUGCUGCAUGGCUGUCGUCAGCUCGUGUUGUGAAAUGUUGGGUUAAGUCCCGCAACGAGCGCAACCCUUAUCCUUUGUUGCCAGCGGUCCGGCCGGGAACUCAAAGGAGACUGCCAGUGAUAAACUGGAGGAAGGUGGGGAUGACGUCAAGUCAUCAUGGCCCUUACGGCCAGGGCUACACACGUGCUACAAUGGCAUAUACAAAGAGAAGCGACCUCGCGAGAGCAAGCGGACCUCAUAAAGUAUGUCGUAGUC
rnacentral:rRNA from 1 species